rnacentral:rRNA from 1 species
AUUGAACGCUGGCGGCAGGCCUAACACAUGCAAGUCGAGCGGAUGAAGGGAGCUUGCUCCUGGAUUCAGCGGCGGACGGGUAAGUAAUGCCUAGGAAUCUGCCUGGUAGUGGGGGAUAACGUCCGGAAACGGGCGCUAAUACCGCAUACGUCCUGAGGGAGAAAGUGGGGGAUCUUCGGACCUCACGCUAUCAGAUGAGCCUAGGUCGGAUUAGCUCGUUGGUGGGGUAAAGGCCUACCAAGGCGACGAUCCGUAACUGGUCUGAGAGGAUGAUCAGUCACACUGGAACUGAGACACGGUCCAGACUCCUACGGGAGGCAGCAGUGGGGAAUAUUGGACAAUGGGCGAAAGCCUGAUCCAGCCAUGCCGCGUGUGUGAAGAAGGUCUUCGGAUUGUAAAGCACUUUAAGUUGGGAGGAAGGGCAGUAAGUUAAUACCUUGCUGUUUUGACGUUACCAACAGAAUAAGCACCGGCUAACUUCGUG